rnacentral:rRNA from 1 species
GAUGAACGCUGGCGGCGUGCCUAAUACAUGCAAGUCGAGCGAACAGACGAGGAGCUUGCUCCUCUGACGUUAGCGGCGGACGGGUGAGUAACACGUGGAUAACCUACCUAUAAGACUGGGAUAACUUCGGGAAACCGGAGCUAAUACCGGAUAAUAUAUUGAACCGCAUGGUUCAAUAGUGAAAGACGGUUUUGCUGUCACUUAUAGAUGGAUCCGCGCCGCAUUAGCUAGUUGGUAAGGUAACGGCUUACCAAGGCGACGAUGCGUAGCCGACCUGGGAGAGUGAUCGGCCACACGGGAACUGAGACACGGUGCAGACUCCUACGGGAGGCAGCAGUAGGGAAUCUUCCGCAAUGGGCGAAAGCCUGACGGAGCAACGCCGCGUGAGUGAUGAAGGUCUUCGGAUCGUAAAACUCUGUUAUUAGGGAAGAACAAAUGUGUAAGUAACUAUGCACGUCUUGACGGUACCUAAUCAGAAAGCCACGGCUAACUACGUG